CUAUGCAGAUCUUUGGUUUGCCCUGCACCAAGAUGGCCACUCUCUUGCUCAAGCCAGGUCACCGUACCCUGAAAUCACAAUAUAGGUUGUCUCCUGCUCAGCCUGAUACUUGCUCAUUUCAGGGAAAGAUCUACCUGCGUUUGACAGGGCAGUGAGGACCCUCAUAAAACUGCAAAAAUCCCUAGCUUCCUCUAGAGAUCAGUUCAAGUGCUAUCUUCUACACCAACAGUUAUCCAAGGAUGAAAGAGGGGCUCUCUGAACUCAAUUCAGAAGUUGAGGAUUUCAGUGAAGGACUGGAGCUUGCUUGGGACGAUAUUGUGAAACUUCUGAUGAAAAAGUUAGAGUAGAGGAAGAACUGGUGCUCUUUGUCCUCAACCCUGAGCAUCAUGGUGACUGGAGCAGCUGGUGAUACUAAGGGAGUUUUGUCUCCAGUUUCUCUGGAGAGCCACUGUCAGAAGGAUGAGCCCAUACCCUGCCCUGGAUUUGCAGAAGAUACAGACACAGCUGUUUGUGUAAGGUAUGUGUAUGUUCACAGGGCUUGAGAGAAAGCAUAGCUCUGGAAUCUUGAUCCCUCUCUCAAAGAGAGACCUUGAUUCCUGCCUCGAAGGAAACAGGAGAUUGGGGCCUUGAGACUGGCUACUCUGCUCUCCUUAGAAAGGUGGUGCCACGCUAGAAUUAUAUCCCCUCCCCUACUUUAGUACUUUAGUAUUGUUAUUCUAGAGGAAGUUAAUUUGGGGGUUCAAAUAACUUUCCUGCCUUUAUCCCUUAAAAGGGAAAAUGUUCCAAGCUAUAUUAGAAAGCUUGAUUCCUUAUCACCAAAUACUAGUCAAAAAAAGUCCAUCAGAAAUAGGGAAUAAACUCAUUUUUCUAAGCUAAAUUUGCUAGUAAACAAAAAUCAUAGAGGUUUUGUAGAUUAGAAUACACAGAGUAAGUGAACUCUCCUGCUGAUAGUGAUACAUCUCUUAUCCAAGGAGACAUUUCCUGAACUCUCCAGGGAGACAAACUGAAAAUCAGGGACAUAUCAAAGCAUUGGUUCUUCUAUAUAUCUAUUGCUUCCCAAAGUCUUUUCUUUCCCUCCACGAGUCUUUGUGUGGAGAUAAAGAUAAAUCCCCUCCAAGGGUCUCUCAAAACAGAAAUGUUCCUCCUGUCCAGACUUAGCCUAUCUUGCAGGCAGAAAGUGCCAAGAGAUCAUUCUCUCCACCAAUGAAGAGAGCCUUGUCAACCUGGAAAAACACAGAACUACUAAAGUAGUCAGAAAAAUCAAGUCUUUAAUCAGGAAAGAGAUGGGUCCAUAAUAAUCAGCUGAUACACAGAGCCAAGCAACAAAUACCACACAGAGUCAAAACCCUGGGGCUCUGGGGACAGUAUCUCUGGAAGAUCAAUGUACUAGAAAAUUCUCCAAAGAAUAAUAAAACUUGGGGAUCUUGUAUAUCUUUCAGGGAACUCAGGACAUCAAAUCAACACUGACAGGUUGUAAGCAGGCUUGGGAAAGAAGCUGUAGCCAGGGGAUAGGGUAUCUGGGAGUGCUCUACUACAGUGACUGGUUCCUGCACAGAUGUUGCUCUUCUUGGGAAUGGAUCUCUUAAGGGUGGGGGGAGACUUCUAAGACUAAAAGGGUACUUAACAUUUGAUUCAAUCUGCUAGCCUCACCUAAACUGGGAUCAUCAAGUACUUUAAGGUCUAUAAUUCAGUCUGAAAUGUGUGAGUCUGGGACUUCCCUCUAGUCAAAUUCUCCUGGGACCCCAGCAAAUUCAGGGCUCCCCAAAAACCCAGUUGACAGUCUUAUGCAAAUAUAUGGCUUGACCCUUUCUUCAAUGUAGUGUAGAACCAAGGUGAAAUGUGGCAAUUCCUAUCAAGCUGUCCUAUUAACUGCUUUCUAUUUAUGAUGACUUCCUGGCAGAUUAUAUAUCAGUAGUUAUAAAUGACAUAUAUUACUGAUUACUUAAUUAAGUAUUGUCAUUGUGUACUAUGAGUCUUCUGUGUUUUUUUUAAUUUCUUUUUUGUGUAUAAGAAAUAAAUAGCUGUCCCAUACCUGAUACAUACUAUAUGUUGAGUACUUUUCUAUGUCACACUUUUGGGAAGACAUUGUAUCUGAGCUAAAACCCAAACUUUAAGUAAAUUAUCUCAGGGCAUUGAAGAAGGAGUUUAGUGAGCUGAAGAAUGAUCCUUUUCAAGGAGUCUGACCCCUCUUCUAUAUGGCCAGAUUUACCUAGGACUGAUGCCCCUAAUGACUACAUGCAAAGGUCUAGAGAAGAGAACUUUGUAGUGGAGGAGAGAAGUCAUAGUGGUUAUUAUCAUUAGAUUUGCUCUAAGGAGACUUUUUUAAAAGAGGAAAAAAGGCAGUUCAGUAAAACUACCCCUUAUAUCAAACCAAAUCUCAUAGUAUAUACAAUGUUCAGCAUCCAUCGUUUUCCAUUUAUGCAAAGCAGUGAGGGAGGCA